GGGGCGGGCAGGAGAGGGAAGUGUGCUUUGCGAUGUCCGGCGGUAGUGUUUUCCAUAUUUAUUAGUUAUUAAUUGUGAUUGCAGUGUCGUCAAGGGUACGUGAAGUAGAAGAAGCCUCGGGAGUGACCGUGACCAGGAGGAGACAACAAAAGCCACCAAGAGGCAGCCGUGCGUGGCGCUCCCUGUAGCUGCUGCUGGCGAUGCUGUGACCACGGCAAGG